rnacentral:tRNA from 1 species
GUUUUAAUAGUUUAAAUAAAAACAAUGAUUUUGUAAAUCAUAAAUAGAAAAAUCUUUAAAACU